GAUUGGGGGUGCAGUGAGCCGGUUCCUGGAAAUAGCUCCACCAACAUUGACCGUACCCUAAACCGACACAGGUGGACUGGUAGAGUAUACCAAGGCGCUUGAGAGAACUAUACUGAAGGAACUCGGCAAAUUGCAUGCGUAACUUCGGGAUAAGCAUGACUUCUAUCGGGGCAACCCUUUAGGAGUGGCACAAAAGAGGGGGUGGCGACUGUUUACUAAAAACACAGGGCUCUGCGAAGAUGCAAAUCGACGUAUAGGGUCUGACGCCUGCCCGGUGCCGGAAGGUUAAAUGGAGAGGUGAAAGCUUUGAAAUGAAGCCCCGGUAAACGGCGGCCGUAACAAUAACGGUCCUAAGGUAGCGAAAUUCCUUGUCGGGUAAGUUCCGACCUGCACGAAUGGCGUAACGACUUCCCCACUGUCUCCAGUAUAGACUCAGCGAAAUUGAAUUCCCCGUGAAGAUGCGGGGUUCCUGCGGUCAGACGGAAAGACCCCAUGCACCUUUACUAUAGCUUUACGCUGGCAUUUGUGUCGGCAUGUGCAGGAUAGGUGGUAGGCUUUGAAGCAGGGACGCUAGUUUCUGUGGAGCCGCAAGAUGAGAUACCACCCUUAUCGUCAUAGAUGUCUAACCGCGGCAUAACAGUGUCCGGGACAGCGUAUGGUGGGUAGUUUGACUGGGGCGGUCGCCUCCCAAAGAGUAACGGAGGCGCGCGAUGGUGGGCUCAGACCGGUCGGAAAUCGGUCGCUGAGUGCAAUGGCAUAAGCCUGCCUGACUGCGAGACUGACAAGUCGAGCAGAGACGAAAGUCGGUCAUAGUGAUCCGGUGGUCCCGCGUGGAAGGGCCAUCGCUCAACGAAUAAAAGGUACGCUGGGGAUAACAGGCUGAUAAUGCCCAAGAGUCCAUAUCGACGGCAUUGUUUGGCACCUCGAUGUCGGCUCAUCACAUCCUGGGGCUGGAGCAGGUCCCAAGGGUAUGGCUGUUCGCCAUUUAAAGUGGUACGUGAGCUGGGUUUAGAACGUCGUGAGACAGUUCGGUCCCUAUCUGCCGUGGGUGUAGGAAUAUUGAGACGAGCUGACCCUAGUACGAGUGGACCGGGUUGGACGAAUCUCUGGUGGACCUGUUGUGGCGCCAGCCGCAUUGCAGGGUAGCUAAAUUCGGACGGGAUAACUGCUGAAAGCAUCUAAGCAGGAAGCCUCCUUCAAAACUAGUAUUCCCUUGAGAGCCGUGGAAGACCACCACGUCGAUAGGCCGGGUGUGGAAGCGUAGCAAUAUGUGAAGCUUACCGGUACUAAUAGCUCC
rnacentral:rRNA from 1 species